rnacentral:piRNA from 1 species
UGAUCAGCGUUUUUUCCUUGGUGGUC